rnacentral:rRNA from 1 species
AGCAGCCGCGGUAAUUCCAGCUCCAAUAGCGUAUAUUAAAGUUGUUGCAGUUAAAAAGCUCGUAGUUGAACUUCGGAAUUUGUUCAUUGGCCAGGCUUAACUGUCUGUACUGGUGUUACGAAUUUCUACCUUCUGAGGAAUCCUCAUGCCAUUAAUUUGGUGCGGGGGGAAUCAGGACUGUUACUUUGAAAAAUUAGAGUGUUUAAAGCAGGCUAACGUCUGAAUACAUUAGCAUGGAAUAAUAAAAUAGGACGGUUUGGUUCUAUUUUGUUGGUUUCUAGGAUCACCGUAAUGAUUAAUAGGGAUAGUUGGGGGCAUUAGUAUUCAAUUGUCAGAGGUGAAAUUCUUGGAUUUAUUGAAGACUAACUACUGCGAAAGCAUUUGCCAAGGAUGUUUUCAUUAAUCAAGAACGAAAGUUAGGGGAUCGAAGACGAUCAGAUACCGUCGUAGUCUUAACCAUAAACUAUGCCGACUAGGGAUCGGGACGAAGUUAAUUUUAAAUGACUCACUCGGCGCCUUA